rnacentral:lncRNA from 1 species
UAGUACUUACGCACACGACGUGGGAGUAUAAAUAACUUCAAGUCAAGGCUGAUACUAUCGACGAAAAGCUCUAGAACGAGCACGACAAAAUCAAAUUUAUUUAUUUCAGAAUUAGCCAGAAAUCACCUGUACCAUCCAAGUUUCCAUAAGAAAACCGCAUUUUAAGAAAAUGAAGAAAGGGUAGUACUUACGCACACGACGUGGGAGUAUAAAUAACUUCAAGUCAAGGCUGAUACUAUCGACGAAAAGCUCUAGAACGAGCACGACAAAAUCAAAUUUGCGACUCCCAAGUUCCAUCAGACCUUUACGUUUGCAACAUGGUUACGUCGUUGCUUGCUUGCUUUGCUUGUGCCCUUUUUGAUUCGUUAAUUCGUUCCGGUUCCUUUGAAAGCUAAUCUGUCUGAAUUCUGCUGCAUUGAAUGCAAAGUCUAGAAGAGGUACGUUGGCAUCACUUAACAGUAACACGCGAGCACCUCUCCAGAGUCACACUGCAUACUCUAGAGUCUAGAGUAACAGUUUUUUUGGCAGCGGCUUUUGUUGGUUCCCUCGUACAUUCAAGAGGAUUUGGUUUUUGUUUAUCUAUUUAUUUAUUUAUUUCAGAAUUAGCCAGAAAUCACCUGUACCAUCCAAGUUUCCAUAUAUAUAUAAAGCGUGGAAUCGUCAUAAUCUCUGACACAACAGAGCAAAGCCAAAAACAAGAUUCAAUGGAGAACCUCGGAGAGUCUCACAUGCAACAAAAGAAAGGAAGAAGAUUGAUACUCUUUCCGCUGCCUUUUCAAGGCCACAUAAACCCAAUGCUUCAGCUUGCAAACAUUCUCUAUUCAAAAGGCUUUUCAAUCACCAUAAUCCACACCAAAUUCAACUCCCCGAAUCGCUUUUCAAUCACCAUAAUCCACACCAACUUCAACUCCCCGAAUCCCUCAAACUACCCUCACUUCACCUUCUGUUCAAUCCAAGACGGCUUGUCAGAAACUGAAGCCUCUACCACGGAUUUUGUGGCCCUUAUUUCAGUACUGCAUGUUAAGUGUGCUGCGCCAUUUCAGGAUUGCUUGGCCAAGUUGCUGUCAAAUGCUGAGGAGAAGGAAGAAGAGCCUAUUGCUUGCUUAAUCACAGAUGCUAGUUGGUUCUUCACUCAUGAUGUUGCUGAAAGCCUAAAGCUCCCCAGGAUUGUGUUAAGGAGUCUCAGUGUCUCUUCCUCUCUUGUUUAUGCUGCCUUACCAGUUCUAAGCCAAAAGGGUUACUUUCCCAUACAAGGUGCAAUUCAAUAACUUCUUGCUUCUAGUGUGUUUCAUUGAUAAUUUUUUCAGUAGGCAUUGUUUGAUUAUUAAAUAUUUGCCCUCGACAGAUCUUCCCUGAGGAUGAUUCAGAUUCUUGUUACAUAAAAAGUAGUUAAAUAAAAUCUGAAGGACACCAAUUCAUAAUAGUAAUGACUAAUGAUCACUGCACUUGGUAUCUAAAUUAUCUUCUUUUUUUAAUUAUUUUUGUUCUUCAUUGUUCAGAUUCUCAUGAUUUGGAAGCCCCAGUGCCAGAGCUUCCGCCUCUAAGAAUGAAAGACAUUCCUGUCAUUGAAACGCUUUAUCAAGAGACACUGCAUCAAUUUGCAGCAGAAGCAAUCAAUCAGAUGAAGGCUUCCUCAGGAUGCAUAUGGAAUUCAGUUCAGGAACUUGAACAAGAUUCUCUUGCUAAAUUUCACCGGGAGUUCCCCAUUCCAUCGUUCCCUAUAGGCCCGUUUCACAAGUACUAUCCAGCUUCUGCAAGUAGCUUAUUGUCACAAGACCGAAUCUGCAUUUCUAGGUUAGACAAACAGGCACCAAAAUCUGUAAUUUAUGUAAGUUUUGGAAGCAUUGCUGCCAUUGAUGAGACCAAAUUUUUGGAAGUAGCUUGGGGCCUAGCCAACAGCAAGGUGCCAUUCUUGUGGGUGGUACGGCCAGGACUAGUCCGCGGAGCAGAAUGGAUUGAGCUAUUACCACGAGGGUUCUUGGAAAUGUUAGACGGAAGAGGGCAUAUAGUGAAAUGGGCUCCCCAGCAAGAAGUGCUAGCUCAUCCUGCCACCGGAGCAUUUUGGACACAUUGUGGCUGGAAUUCGACGUUGGAAAGUAUGUGUGAAGGUGUCCCCAUGAUAUGCCAGCCUUGUCAUGGUGAGCAAAUGGUGAUUGCAAGAUAUGUUAGUGAUGUUUGGAAAGUUGGUUUGCAUUUGGAAAGGAAGCUGGAGAGAGGGGAGGUUGAAAGGGCAAUUAGAAGAGUAAUGGUGGAUGCCGAGGGGCGGGAAAUGAGGAACAGAGCUGAGAUUCUGAAGGAAAAACUGGAUCUUUGUACAAAGCAAGGCAGUUCUUCAUAUCAAUCUCUAGAAAACUUGAUUAGUUACAUUUUGUCAUACUAGAUUUUCCAAUACUUACAUCUAUCUUUCUAAUAAGGGCAGUAUGAAAAUUAAAACAUGGCAUGUCCCGGCCGUAUUCAAUGAGAUCUUUCUGAAUAUUUAUGUGAUCAGCGUUCCCCAACCCAAGGAGUGAAACUUGAAGGACUUAUCCAAAAUCCGUAGCAAGGCCAAGUUUAUAUUGUUUAAGGGGAUUUUUUUUUUUUUGCAAUAAUUGUGGGGUGUUGAAGAAAAAGCUGAUAAGAUAGUGACCUGCACUCUCUUCUAGUCUUCUUGCAUUAACAGUGUCCGAAGUUUGUGCAUUUGUUGGAUAUUUCUGAUCCUUACAGGAAAUCAAAAGUCGGAUUUGUAUUUGUGAGCUGAAUAAAGACGUGAGUUGGUUUGUGUUGCUCUCGUUGUUUAAUUUCCCCUUCUUCAUGUGAAGGAAUGCAUUAUAUUUCAUUUAGCAAUUUAUUAGAUUAUUAAUUAUUGUUGCUCGUUAAACUAAAGUUUCGUUCACCAAUAAAAUAUUUAAUUAACUCAUUGUACGUGUGUACGGCUAAUGAACAACAGUAUAAGUGAGAAAUUAAACAGAAAGCAGGAAGCAGAAAGAUUCAAUGGAGAAUCAAAUAGAGUCACAUACGCAACAAUAAGAACGGAAUAAGAGUGAUACUCUUCGCAUAAGAGUCCAUGCUUCAGCUUGCAAGCAUUCUCUAUUCCAGAGGCUUCUCAGCCUCUGUAAUUCAAUACCAGCUUCAACUCUCCAAAAUCUUCAAACUACGUACCCUCUCUUCUAGUGGAGCUGUGGAGUUCCCCAAAAAAAACCCAUAAUUUUCUAUCCGACCUUUUCCUUUGAUAUGAUUAUUAGUGGAGGAGAAAAAAUGAGUCAGAAACUUUAGAUUAGACAUCUGCAAUUCUGCAUGGGUAACGUAACGUCACUCAUUCAAUAGUUGGGCUAAAGUUUGGAUUCUUAUAAGAGGGCGAGAUAAGCCCAUUGGGCCUAUAAGCUGAUAACACCGCCGAAAAGCUAACUAAAACAGGAGCAGCAAAUCAAAUUAUUACUUCAGUUUUAUGGCUGCCACAUGGUUCUCUGCUUGUCUUGUCUAAUGGGCAACGCCAAUGCGUCGGUGCUCUGCCUUUGUGCCCCAUCUAAUAAUAUAUUAUGAUUAUGAUUAUUAUCUAAUUCAUGCAUAUCCUUUCUAAGUGAUUGGGUUGCCACUAUUUUACAUUACUUUUUUACAUCCUUUUUUUAUGCAUGUAUUGCUUUAUGCAAGUCUAAAAGAGGUUCUAUGACACAAUCCAUGGGUUUAUCCAAACUCAAAUCAAAUUAAAUGGUUUGGGUUGGGUAAAUCAUUAAAAUGGGUUAGAUGUGGGUUUUAUGUAAAAAACCAUUUCAUUAUGGUUUGGGUAUGGUUUACCCAUGGGUUAUGGAUAAAACCCCAACACUUAAAUUUUCAAAUGAAAUAAAUCACCAUUAAAUUUUUUACGGCUGAUCAAUUAUCAACAGUUUGAAAAUGAAAAUAACAGUAAAAAUAAAUUUAAAUUAAAUAAAUAUUGUUGUAAAUAACAUAAAUUUUUUUUCUUAUUUACAAAAAUAAUUCCUCCCACAUGGAAAGAUCAUCAUAGAAAGAGCAGGAGACUCUACUAAUGAUCAAUAAUAAUUCGGCUUGGAUUGGGUCCGAUAUGCUAGAUGUCGGCUAAUUUUUGGUUAAUAAUUGAAUGUAAUGCCCAUAUUAAGUAUUAAAACAAGAAAUAUAUAUUUUGAUAUGAGUAGAAAAAUUAAUAAUAAAAUUUUUUCUUGUAAUUAUUUAUUUUGUGAACAUUUUCUUAUAAUAAAUAUUUUGUAAUAUUUUAAAAUUAAAUGUAAAAAGUAUAGGUAAAAUAUUUUAUUAUUUAUCUUAUAAUAAAUUUUUAUUUGUCAAUCAAGUUUUCUUAUAAUAAUUUUUUUAUCAUUUUACUAAUAAUUUUCUUAUAUAUUUAUUAUAAGAAAAUUUUCAAAAAAUAAAUAAGUAUAAAAAAAUUUUAUUAUUAAUUUUUUUGUUCAUAUCAAAACAAAUAUUUCUUAUUUUUAAUGCUUUAUUUUUUAUUUAGUUUCUAUUCAUGUGAUUUAUUUAAUUUAUAAUAAAUGUAAAUAAAAGAGUAAUUAAAAAUUACCAAAACGAUAAAUAAAAACAAAUAUUGCAUAAUUAAAUAAAUAACAAGUGGCAAAAUUUAUUAUUAGAUUGUUAAUGUCAUGUUUGUGAAAGUUUAUUAUUAAAGUGUACGUUCUUAUUUAUUGAGAAAUAAUAAUUUUUGUGAUUAAACUUUAUUUUGAUUUUCUAGUAUUCUUUAAUUUAAGGAUUAAGUUAUUGUAAAAUUUAUAAUUUUUAUCCACUAUAUUUUUUAUAUUUUAAUAUCAAUUUAAUAAUUAAUAACAAUUAAUAAUUAUUAUAAUUUUGAUAUAAUUAAAUUUUAUUAAAAUAAAAAUUAUUUUGAUAAUAAAAUUCAAACCAAACCCAAACCAAACUCAAAUGGUUUGGUUUGGUUUGGGUUAAAAAUAUUUGGGUUGGUUUGGGUUGGAUCCAAAUUUUUAUGGUUUGGUUUGGGUUGACUUAAAAUCCAACCCAAACCAACCCAUGCCCACCCCUAGAUAGGGUCAUACAAACUCAAAAAAGUAAGCACCUCUUUCUUUUUAUAUGCAUUUAAUUUUUGACCUACUUGGUGUGCUAGUGUUAUGGUGUAAAGACAAGAUUGGAUCUGUAAUCUCAAAACAAAAUUUAGUGGGUGAUGUCAUUGUGCAAUAUUGUCACGAGCCUUCUGGUUGAUUCAUAAUGUCGGCAUUAUUUAUAGAACAUUAUAGAAUAUAAAAUAAAUUUACGAAAUUAUAUUUGAUAGUGAACUGUUUUAUGGGAUCCCCUAUCUUACAUGCAUGUAAGAUACAUGUCUCUCACAUGAAUAGUGUGUGGGUCCCACAUAUACACUAUUCAUGUGAGAGGCAUGUAUCUUACAUGCAUGUAAGAUAGAGUUUGCCCUGUUUUAUUGAUCUUUGUGCAUGAGACUCAGUUUUCUUAACACCAAGAGAUUCCAUUUGUCGGCUCAAUAAUUUAUGAAGGUGAGUUUGUAUAUUAUAUAGAUCAUGCGAAUUGCGACCGUCUCUUAAAAGGUGGCAUUUGUUGGAUUCCUUGUACAUUUUAGGUGUUUUUGAUAUACUAUAUUUUAUUAUAAUGUAAUAUAAUAUAAAGUUUUGUAAUGUUUGGUAUUAUAUCGUACAUUAUUAUAUAUAAUAUUAUUUAUAUUAAAUUAAUUUUUUAUAAUUAUAAAUAUCUUAAAAAUUUUAUAGUUUAUAUUUAUUAUUUAAAUUUAUAAAUAUAAAUAAAAUUAUUCACCAACGAUCACCGUGAACCAUUGCAAAUUGCUUCGGGCAUUCAUAUUUUGAUAAUUUUUUUUAAACUUCAAUUCUAGUGCUAUUAGAAUCCUUGUCAGCGGAUCGGAUCUAUACAACGAGUGAGCAAAAGCUUUGAUUCUGCUAUUACAUAUGCUAUCGAGUAAUUCCAAUGAUAAAGACUCCAUUGGUACCAAAAUUGAUGUCAAAGAAUGCUAAAAUAAUAUUAUUGGUGGUGGAUUGUGGUGGUCAGCAUUCGAAUUUAUUGUUUUAUAAACUAAUAAUAAAUAAAUUAAAUAUAUUGUAAUUGAUUAAAUAAUUCUACGUUUUAAAAGUCAGCAAUAUAUCUUAGUCACGGUGGGAUUGUAUAUCAUUACUUUAUGGGCCCAGCAUUACUUUGAUAUUGCGGCAAAAGAUGCAUUAAGGCCUUCGGUUAAUGUUGCUCAAUGCAAAUUUAAUAUAGAAAGCAGAGUCAUUUGAAUCUUUCAUUAAACACAACAUAGCAAGCCAAAAGAAGAAAGAUUCAAUGGAUGUACUUGGAGAUUCUCACAUUCAUCAAAAGAAAGGAAGAAGACUGAUACUCUUCCCACUGCCUUUACAAGGCCACAUAAACCCAAUGCUUCAGCUUGCAAACAUUCUCUAUUCAAAAGGCUUUUCAAUCACCAUAAUCCACACCAACUUCAACUCCCCGAAUCCCUCAAACUACCCUCACUUCACCUUCUGUUCAAUCGAAGACAGCUUGUCAGAAACUGAAGCCUCUACCGCGGAUUUAGUGGCUCUUCUUUCACUACUUAAUGUUCAGUGUGUUGUGCCAUUUCGGAAUUGCUUGGCUAAGUUGUUGUCAAAUGUUGAGGAGGAGGAAAAGGAGCCUAUUGCUUGCUUAAUCACGGAUGCUACUUGGUACUUCACUCAGGCUGUUGCUGAAAGCCUAAAGCUCUCCAGGAUUGUGUUAAGGACUAAUAGCGUCUCUUCAUUUCUUGUUUUUUCCGCCUUUCCAGUUCUAAGCCAAAAGGGUUACUUCCC